UGUGGGGAUUGGGGGAUGUUUUGGGGGGAGAUUUCCUUCUAUAGUAAACUGUUGGCGUUGUCUUACCCUCCCACCCUCUCCUUGCUUCUAGGCUUUGGACACAAUUUGUGAGGACAUGAUACUAAGUGCUGCAACCAUUUUGUGACCAGUAGGGGCCCCCCCACAAAAUCAUAGAGAAACCGGCCCAGAGCUGGUCAGGAACCACAUGAGAAAAACCACCUACGAAUGUUUAAGCCAUCUUUAGUCAGGCCCACCAUCCCUUGCAGCUGAAAAGCUUUCCUGAUGGACACUUUUUGUCAAGGAAGCAUUCUUCUGUCACCAGUUUUCUGAGCUGUGCCUUAAGUAGGCACUGCAAGUUGAAGUACAAAGCCAAAUAUGGGCCCUUAAAACAGAGCAGGUGAGAGCUAGGAGUAUUGGGUGAGAAAUGCAGAAAUGGAGCAACAACAUCAUGGCAAAGGGGAGGCUAGUCCCAAGGUGGGAAUUAUGUUUUCAUCCAGUAUGAUUUGUAGAUCAGAGCUUUUUAGAGGUUCAUAGAGAAGCAGAAGAUCCCCAUUUACAAAAUUGUGGGAGCCCUCAGGAAUGCCCUCGGGAGGGAGCUUCCGUCAUUACUUUCUGUGCCACAUUUAACCAGGAUUCAGUGCAUGUUCAUGACGCCCAGAUGAGAAUCUCUGGUCAAGACCUUUUCUUGAGCUCCAGACACAAAUGUAGUCACGUUACUUCUUGCUUAAAACCUCAAAGUUUCCCACAUUCCUUGGAUAAACUAUGAAUGACUCAUCUAUCCCCAUAAAUUCCCAAUGGUCUACUUCUCCAGCUCAUCUCUUGCACGUCCCCCCACUGCCCUUCCCUAACCCAUGAAAACAAUCUCAGUUCCCCCAGUGCCCAAGCCCUCUUUGCCUAGCUAACUUCUUCCCUUCCUUUUCCCUAAUUCUAGACUCUGAAGCUAUUCCUGCUUUAUGCUCCCUCAGUUUCCUAAAUUCCCCUACCAAGUGAUUGAUCAUAUUUUAUGGCAUUUUAUGGCUGCUGGUUCUUCAUUUGGUUGUAUCCCAUCACAGUAGAUGUUUUUGGCUUCCUAAACUCCUUUCUCUCUUUCUUCUGGAGAGUGAUUCUCCCUCUUUGUGAAGAGUUUCAGGAGGACUGCCAGGCGCUCCACCCGUCAUGGAGUGAGCGCAGGGCCCACCCCAGGCUGGUCCACCUCUCCUGGGACUGUGCAGGUGGAGCUGAGCAACCGUGAGGAGCAACAAAUGACCAACCGACUGACUGACCGAGGCUGGAGCCCGUUUCUCUGAGCGGCAUUGAGCAAUAUCCACCAGUGCUUAGAACAAUAAUCAGGCCCAUGGAGAGGAACAAGUAAGAGACUAGAUGAUUGUGUGGCCUGAUAGGAAAACCCAACAUGCUUGGAUACCAUGAAGAUUGGCUUCACUCAAAUGCCACCUCUUCUUUGUCACCUUCCCUGAUAUGUCAAUAUGAACGAAAUCUCAGCAGUGAAGAGUACAUGUUGGAGGUGGUGAUCAGGAAAGGGGUUGUGGGAGGAGGUGGGAUUGGAGCUGGACCUUGAACCGUGGAUAUUGCUUCAAUAAACAGAAGUGGGGUGAACUCUGUGCAGGAAAGGGCUGCAUCUGCCUUGUUCUGCUGGGUCUCCUGGCCUUAUUAGGGUAGUGAGCAUAAAGUAAACAGUAUAAAAUUUUUGAAUGAAUCAUAUAUAAAUGAGCAAAGACAAUGGGAAAAAAAACCACUUAAUAUGUCUGAUGAACAUAAGGUCCACUUGCCAGGAACAGAGAGUGCUAGUGGGAAAUGAGAGCACACAUGGAGGGCUCAGCCAAGCUGAUGACAGCCUUGAAGCGGGGAAGGGAAGUCCUGGUUAGUGCUGCCUGUGUAACUGAGUGCACUCCACCUAUCUGGUGUGGCUGGUGGGCCAUUCGCUGAGGAGUCCUUCAGGGAGAGACAAGGUGGUACUGAGGAACUGGGGAAGUGUUAAAGGAGGAGAUAAUUUUGUGGCAAUGAGGCUCUACCAGAGUGGGGCAUCCUCAAAUUGCACUUGAAGUUGGUCCUGCCUAUGGGAGAAUCUCGGUUCCCGCAGUGCAGGCAGGAGGUGAGCAUGGAAAGACCCACAUUUGGUUCUCUUGGACCCUUUCUCCUCCCUGGAUUGAGGCAGGGUAGGGCCCAUGGCCUAGCCCCCCAGUCACAUCACCUCCCUGGUGACCUUGCUCACUGCCAUCGCUUCAGAACUUGUCAGGAACGAUCUUCCUACCUCUUCUUGGCCAGUUCCUGGGCCUUCACAGCUGCACUGACUGAAGUUCCUGCAGGAAGCUUUCUCUGGAAAUCUGAGUGGCUUUGUGUCCCACCCCGCCUUUCUCACA